rnacentral:rRNA from 1 species
UACGUAGGGUGCGAGCGUUAAUCGGAAUUACUGGGCGUAAAGCGUGCGCAGGCGGUUCGACAGGUCCGAUGUGAAAGCCCCGGGCUCAACCUGGGAAUGGCAUUGGAAACUGGCGAGCUUGAGUGUGGCAGAGGGGGGUGGAAUUCCGCGUGUAGCAGUGAAAUGCGUAGAGAUGCGGAGGAACACCGAUGGCGAAGGCAGCCCCCCUGGGCUGACACUGACGCUCAGGCACGAAAGCGUGGGGAGCAAACAGG